rnacentral:misc_RNA from 1 species
AACGCACAUUGCGCCCGGUGGUAAUCCGCCGGGCAUGCCUGUUCGAGCGUCAUUUCUAUGCUCAGGCCCUACCGCUUAGCGGUAAGGGCUCUGGUUUUGGGGCAUGCAGCGCAAGCUGCAGUUCCUAAUUGCAUCGGCGUACACGUGUAUGCUGCCCCCUGCGUAGUGGUUUUACAUAUCGCAUCGGGCCGUGCCGUGGUGCUGCCGCAACACCCAUUUUUUCUAGUUUGACCUCGAAUCAGGUAGGGUUACCCGCUGAACUUAA